rnacentral:rRNA from 1 species
GACGAACGCUGGCGGCGUGCUUAACACAUGCAAGUCGAACGGAAAGGCCCUGCUUUUGUGGGGUGCUCGAGUGGCGAACGGGUGAGUAACACGUGAGUAACCUGCCCUUGACUUUGGGAUAACUUCAGGAAACUGGGGCUAAUACCGGAUAGGAGCUCCUGCUGCAUGGUGGGGGUUGGAAAGUUUCGGCGGUUGGGGAUGGACUCGCGGCUUAUCAGCUUGUUGGUGGGGUAGUGGCUUACCAAGGCUUUGACGGGUAGCCGGCCUGAGAGGGUGACCGGCGACAUUGGGACUGCGAUACGGACCAGACUGCUACGGGAGGCAGCAGUGGGGAAUAUUGCACAAUGGGCGGAAGCGUGAUGAGGAAACCCCGCGUGCGGGAUGACGGCCUUCGGGUUGUAAACCGCUUUCGCCUGUGACGAAGCGUGAGUGACGGUAAUGGGUAAAGAAGCACCGGCUAACUACGUG